rnacentral:rRNA from 1 species
UACGAAGGUCCCGAGCGUUGUCCGGAAUUAUUGGGCGUAAAGGGCGUGUAGGCGGCUGAACAAGUCGGAUGUGAAAUCCCUCGGCUCAACUGAGGAACUGCAUUCGAUACUGUUCGGCUAGAGUCCGGGAGGGGGUAGCGGAAUUCCCAGUGUAGCGGUGAAAUGCGUAGAUAUUGGGAAGAACACCAGUAGCGAAGGCGGCUACCUGGACCGGAACUGACGCUGAGGCGCGAAAGCCAGGGGAGCGAAUGGG